UACGUAGGGACCGAGCGUUGUCCGGAAUCAUUGGGCGUAAAGAGCGUGUAGGCGGCCGAUCAAGUUCCGCGUGAAAUCUCACGGCUCAACCGUGAGCAGCCGUGGAAAACUGGUCGGCUAGAGUGCGGGAGAGGAGAGUGGAAUUCCUGGUGUAGCGGUGAAAUGCGCAGAUAUCAGGAAGAACACCCGUGGCGAAGGCGGCUCUCUGGAACGGUACUGACGCUGAGACGCGAAAGCGUGGGGAGCGAACAGG
rnacentral:rRNA from 1 species